CGCCUUUUUCUUCUAAAAAGUUAUCUCUAUCCAUAACAUUCUUCGAGAAUCUACACUCAGAUGCAUAGUGUUCGAUCUUGUUGUAGUUGAAGCACUUGAUUUGUGAUUUGUCACACCUCGACCAUGAAUUUCCUCUUCCACGACCUCUUGUUUCUUAUGGAUUCACACUUAUUUCUCCAUUGUUAUAGUAGUUGUUGUAACCACAUCUUCCUUCUCCUCCA
rnacentral:lncRNA from 1 species